rnacentral:lncRNA from 1 species
UUAUGUUACAUGUGUAUCUAAUAUGUUAGUCUGAAUAUCUAGUAGUUAAUUGAUAUCUCUUGGAUUGUUGAUACGCGUGGAUAUGCAUGAUAUCUAAUAUUUUAUUCUAUAUGCAUGCUAGCUAUAUUUGUUUGGAUGGUGAUAUGUGCUACACGUGGAGAUGAUUUACUAGACUAAAUGCUUGCAACCUUAUUUCUUGC